GCUGGUUGCCUGUGAAAUGAAUGGAAGUUCAGCUUUUUAAAACUUCCCCCCUCUUUUAUGCAAGAGCUAAAAUUGAUUAAGGAAAUUAAAAAAGUUAAUCAGAAGGGGUACAGCCCUUCCGAUAAAAGAAACAACUUUAGUAGGUGCUAAAAGAACAUAUUACACAAGGAACUCAAACUAAGUGGGCCUAAAAGCAGCCAUCUUAUUAGAAAGCGUCGAAGCUCAAAUUGAACCUCUCCCCUUAUAUUCUGCUAUUAAAUCUACCCCCCUACCUUCUACCAGGCCUUCUUACAAACGUAAGAAAGAUUAUGCUAAAAUGAGUAAUAAGAAGAAACUAUUCUUCUCCUUAGCACACGUGUAAAUCAGAAUGGACCACCCGCUGAUUAUUAAUCGGCCCCCCACUCAGAGGGCAGUAAGUUAAAAAAACAAGAAAAAUACUUAUUAAAAACCGUUAAUCCUACACAGGAGUGCACCUUGGAAAGACUAAAAGAAAAGGAAGGAACUCGGCAAACCAAGCCUCGCCUGUUUACCAAAAACAUCGCCUCCUGAUUUAAAAAUAUAGGAGGUCCCGCCUGCCCUGUGACUAAUAGUUUAACGGCCGCGGUAUUUUAACCGUGCAAAGGUAGCGUAAUCACUUGUCUUUUAAAUGAAGACCCGUAUGAAUGGCAUCACGAGGGCUUAGCUGUCUCCCUUUUCCAGUCAAUGAAAUUGACCUCCCCGUGCAGAGGCGGGGAUAAGCACAUAAGACGAGAAGACCCUGUGGAGCUUUAGACCUAAAAUAAACCACGUUUAACAGCCUAUAAAAUUAGCAAUAACUUAGUGGUUUUUAUUGAAGUGUCUUUGGUUGGGGCGACCGCGGGGUAAAAUAUAACCCCCAUGUGGACCGGGGAUACUAUCCCUACUACUAAGGGCCUCCCCCCCAAGUAACAGAACUUCUGACCUUAUGAUCCGGCAUAGCCGAUUAACGAACCGAGUUACCCCAGGGAUAACAGCGCAAUCCCCUCUAAGAGCCCAUAUCGACGAGGGGGUUUACGACCUCGAUGCUGGAUCAGGUACAUA
rnacentral:rRNA from 1 species